rnacentral:snRNA from 1 species
AUGCUCACUUUGGCAGCACAGUUACUAAAAUCCGAAUGAUACAGUGAAGAUUAGCAUGGCCCCUGCACAAGGAUGACAUGCAAAUUUGUGAAGCAUUCCAUAUUUUU